CGUAGGUAACCUGCCUCUUAGCGGGGAAUAACUAUUGGAAACGAUAGCUAAUACCGCAUAAAAGUCGAUAUCGCAUGAUAUUGAUUUGAAAGGUGCAAUUGCAUCACUAAGAGAUGGACCUGCGUUGUAUUAGCUAGUUGGUGAGGUAACGGCUCACCAAGGCGACGAUACAUAGCCGACCUGAGAGGGUGAUCGGCCACACUGGGACUGAGACACGGCCCAG
rnacentral:rRNA from 1 species